AUACGUAGGGUGCGAGCGUUAAUCGGAAUUACGUGGGCGUAAAGCGUGCGCAGGCGGUUGUGUAAGUCAGAUGUGAAACUCCCCGGGCUCAACCGUGGGAACUGCAUUUGAGACUGCACGGCUAGAGUGUGACAGAGGGGGGUAGAAUUCCACGUGUAGCAGUGAAAUGCGUAGAGAUGUGGAGGAAUACCGAUGGCGAAGGCAGCCCCCUGGGUUACUACUGACGCUCAUGCACGAAAGCGUGGGGAGC
rnacentral:rRNA from 1 species